AUCACAAGGAGGAAGCCAGCAGCCCGGUGGGUGCACCACUCGAGCCAAUGGUGACCUACAACUUCUACUUCAUGGAGCGUGGGGCACCCGCCCAGGAAAGCCCAGGCACACCCCACACCCCUGACCUUGAGGGCACAGGGAGGUGGGGGACCAAGGUCCUGCAGCCCUGUGCAUGUGUCCUGAAAGGUGGUCUAGGAGUCCUGUGUGCACCUGUCCAGGGGGGCCCAGAAGCCUGA
rnacentral:lncRNA from 1 species